CCUACGGGCGGCAGCAGUAGGGAAUAUUGCGCAAUGGGGGAAACCCUGACGCAGCAACGCCGCGUGAGUGAGGAAGGUCUUCGGAUUGUAAAACUCUUUUAUCUGGGAAAAAUGUGCAUGGAGCUAAUACCCCAUGCAGUGAUGGUACCAGAUGAAUAAGCACCGGCUAACUUCGUGCCAGCAGCCGCGGUAAUACGAAGGGUGCAAGCGUUAUUCGGAAUCAUUGGGCGUAAAGCGCGCGCAGGCGGAUUUGUAAGUCAGGUGUGAAAUCUCGGGGCUCAACCCCGAAACUGCGCCUGAAACUACAAGUCUAGAAUGUCGGAGGGGGCAGGGGAAUUUCACGUGUAGGGGUAAAAUCCGUAGAGAUGUGAAGGAACACCGGAGGCGAAGGCGCCUGCCUGGACGACUAUUGACGCUGAGGCGCGAAAGCGUGGGGAGCA
rnacentral:rRNA from 1 species